rnacentral:rRNA from 1 species
AGUGAACGCUGGCGGUAGGCCUAACACAUGCAAGUCGAACGGCAGCACAGGAGAGCUUGCUCUCUGGGUGGCGAGUGGCGGACGGGUGAGGAAUACAUCGGAAUCUACCUUUUCGUGGGGGAUGACGUAGGGAAACUUACGCUAAUACCGCAUACGACCUACGGGUGAAAGUGGGGGACCGCAAGGCCUCACGCGAUUAGAUGAGCCGAUGUCCGAUUAGCUAGUUGGCGGGGUAAUGGCCCACCAAGGCGACGAUCGGUAGCUGGUCUGAGAGGAUGAUCAGCCACACUGGAACUGAGACACGGUCCAGACUCCUACGGGGGGCAGCAGUGGGGAAUAUUGGACAAUGGGCGCAAGCCUGAUCCAGCCAUACCGCGUGGGUGAAGAAGGCCUUCGGGUUGUAAAGCCCUUUUGUUGGGAAAGAAAUCCUGUCGAUUAAUACUCGGUGGGGAUGACGGUACCCAAAGAAUAAGCACCGGCUAACUUCGUGCCAGCAGCCGCGGUAACAC